AGUGAACGCUGGCGGUAGGCCUAACACAUGCAAGUCGAACGGCAGCACAGUAAGAGCUUGCUCUUACGGGUGGCGAGUGGCGGACGGGUGAGGAAUACAUCGGACUCUACUUUUUCGUGGGGGAUCACGUAGGGAAACUUACGCUAAUACCGCAUACGACCUACGGGUGAAAGCAGGGGAUCUUCGGACCUUGCGCGAUUGAAUGAGCCGAUGUCGGAUUAGCUAGUUGGCGGGGUAAAGGCCCACCAAGGCGACGAUCCGUAGCUGGUCUGAGAGGAUGAUCAGCCACACUAGAACUGAGACACGGUCCAGACUCCUACGGGAGGCAGCAGUGGGGAAUAUUGGACAAUGGGCGCAAGCCUGAUCCAGCCAUACCGCGUGGGUGAAGAAGGCCUUCGGGUUGUAAAGCCCUUUUGUUGGGAAAGAAAAGCAGCAGGUUAAGACCCCGCUGUUCUGACGGUACCCAAAGAAUAAGCACCGGCUAACUUCGUG
rnacentral:rRNA from 1 species